UACGUAGGGGGCAAGCGUUGUCCGGAUUUAUUGGGCGUAAAGAGCGUGUAGGCGGCUAGAUAGGUCCGUUGUGAAAACUCGAGGCUCAACCUCGAGACGCCGGUGGAAACCAUCUAGCUAGAGUCCGGAAGAGGAGAGUGGAAUUCCUGGUGUAGUGGUGAAAUGCGUAGAGAUCAGGAAGAACAUCGGUGGCGAAGGCGCUCUGCUGGACCAUAACUGACACUCAGGGACGAAAGCUAGGGGAGCGAAUGGG
rnacentral:rRNA from 1 species